rnacentral:sRNA from 10 species
UCUUCUAUUUUCUCUUUUUUUCUUACUUUUCCAUUCUCCUACCCUUUUAUUCACCCAACCCACAACUCCCAACCUCAUUUUUCAUCCCAACUAAACCUUAAGAGAGAGAAAGGAAGAAAGAAGAAAGGAAAGAAAGAAAGGAAAACUAAAGAGAAAAGCUCGAAAAAGGCUCAACCUUGAAGGAGAAAAGAAAAAACUGAGAGGUUUUCCUCCUCACCCACACACACCAUUAUUAAGGUUUGAAAAGAUUUUGGUGGUUUACCUUGUGGAUUUCAAGAUCAAUAAAGAUCCAAGGAACUCGAGGCAUGCAUGUGGAAGAAUCUUGGAAUGCGUGGUGAUUUUGAGCUAGAUUAAGUGGUGGUUUUCAGGAUUAAAGGUAGUUGGAUCCUAGAUCGAGGUGCUCCCUCAUAUUCAUCUUUCAGUAAGUUCACUACGACUCUCAAUGAUAGCACCCACGCCCAGAGUCAUUAUGCUAGUUGUCAAGGGUCUGUUGUAUGUUUAUAUGUGAUGGCUUAAUGUAAAUUGUGAGAUUUGUUGUGAACUUUGUAUGUACUUGGUUUUCACGAUUA